CCGAGUUGUAAUUUGUAGAGGAUGCUUUUGGCGAGGUGCCUUCCGAGUUCCCUGGAACGGGACGCCACAGAGGGUGAGAGCCCCGUCUGGUCGGCCACCGAGCCUCUGUAAAGCUCCUUCGACGAGUCGAGUAGUUUGGGAAUGCUGCUCAAAAUGGGAGGUAUAUGUCUUCUAAAGCUAAAUACUGGCCAGAGACCGAUAGCGCACAAGUAGAGUGAUCGAAAGAUGAAAAGCACUUUGAAAAGAGGGUUAAAAAGUACGUGAAAUUGUUGAAAGGGAAGCGCCUAUGACCAGACUUGGGCCCGGUGAAUCAUCCAGCGUUCUCGCUGGUGCACUUCGCCGGGCACAGGCCAGCAUCAGUUUGGCGCGGGGGAAAAAGGCUCUGGGAAUGUGGCUCCCCCGGGAGUGUUAUAGCCCACCGCGUAAUACCCUGCGCCGGACUGAGGUACGCGCAUUCGCAAGGAUGCUGGCGUAAUGGUCAUCAGCGACCCGUCUUGAAACACGGACCAAGGAGUCGUCUUCGUAUGCGAGUGUUCGGGUGUCAAACCCCUACGCGUAAUGAAAGUGAACGUAGGUGAGAGCUUCGGCGCAUCACCGACCGAUCCUGAUGUUCUCGGAUGGAUUUGAGUAAGAGCAUACGGGGCCGGACCCGAAAGAAGGUGAACUAUGCCUGUAUAGGGUGAAGCCAGAGGAAACUCUGGUGGAGGCUCGCAGCGGUUCUGACGUGCGAAUCGAUCGUCAAAUAUGGGCAUGGGGGCGAAAGACUAAUCGAACCUUCUAGUAGCUGGUUUC
rnacentral:rRNA from 1 species